rnacentral:tRNA from 1 species
GCGGAGAUCGCCUAGCGGCUUGGCGUGAGCCUGCAGAGCUCAUUUACGUGUGUUCGAAUCACACUCUCCGCUCCA